rnacentral:piRNA from 1 species
UAUACUUCUGCCUAGGAAGCUUUUCCUCAUC